ensembl:snRNA U6 U6 spliceosomal RNA
GUGAUCACUUCAGCAGCACAUAUACUAAAAUUGGAACUAUAGAGAGAAGAUUAGCAUGGCCCUUGCGCAAGGAUGACAUACAAAUUCAUGAAGCAUUCCAUAUUCAG